UAAAAUAGCUAGGGGAGCCAAGAGCUGAGAGGUAUACCGACCCUUACACCUGAUCUGGAUAAUACCAGCGUAGGAAAGCUUAGUAAAAAUUCA
rfam:Clostridium difficile 630 complete genome